UCUGUAUAAUGAGGUGGUUUGGUGUAGUGUUCUGUAUAAUGAGGUGGUUGUGUGUAGUGUACUGUAUAAUGAGGUGGUUGUGUGUAGUGUCCUAUGUAAUGAGGUGGUUGUGUGUAGUGUUCUGUAUAAUGAGGUGGUUGUGUGUAGUGUACUGUAUAAUGAGGUGGUUUGGUGUAGUGUCCUAUGUAAUGAGGUGGUUGUGUGUAGUGUUCUGUAUAAUGAGGUGGUUAUGUGUAGUGUUCUGUAUAAUGAGGUGGUUUGGUGUAGUGUUCUGUAUAGUGAGGUGGUUUGGUGUAGUGUUCUGUAUAAUGAGGUGGUUUGGUGUAGUGUUCUGUAUAAUGAGGUGGUUUGGUGUAGUGUACUGUAUA